CGCGAAAGGAACACAGCAUCGCCACCCCAGCCUGGGACACUGUGUACAGAAACACUCCAAACAUCUGAAGGAGAGAUGGGAAACAGACAGCCUGACACCAGUUGCUUUACUGGAAACCACUUCAUUGGCUUUUGAAAAAACCUCCCCGGGUCUACAGCCUCCUCCACCACAAUGUGGGCCCACUGCACCCCCUCCCACUCCUCCGCCACAGACCGGACAGCGAAAUUGAAAACUACGUGAGAAGAUUCACUAGGCAUGGGCCGUUUACUACUAUGACAACAAAACCGGACUUGCGUGAGGAUGAGACCUGGCCUGAAGCCGUGGCGCCAUGACAGAAGUAUUUCAGUAACGCAAGGAGGGACAGUGGAAAUCCUCCCAGAGGCAGAAGACGAGAGAGACAGAGGGGAGGGAGACAUCUUAGAAGCUGUCAUGUGAUCUCUCUUCAUACCUAGAAGUACAGAAUGAAGUAUGAUCUGCAAAGACAAGGCAACCAACUGUAAACAUCACAGAAAGGAAAUGAGACUAAACUAAAAAAAGACUUUUCAGACCAAAAGUAGUCACCCUACUUUGCUGAGACGUACGCACGGCGUUUGGAUGUUAGAUUUGAAAUAUGUUUAACUUAUGCCAUACUGAUUCCUUCAGAGGAAGCAGACAGUGGUAACGAGGCACCACGUCAGGCCACUCAUGUGAGAACCUUACUGAGUGUGUGCCCAGGCAAACGCUAAGGACCCGCGCCAAACCGGAAGUGAGUCAGUGAAAUAAAAAGAAUAACACAAUGUGGCCACGAGCCACACUGGCCUCCACUACAGAAUAUCCUCUUGGUCUCUCUAUAGCUGAGGCUAGUCCUUCCCAUGGGAUUAACACUGGAAUCAAAGACUUUACGACAUCAAGACAUCCCCUGCCAGAUAACAUGUUUGUGUACACCAGACUUGAUGUAACAUCGCCCAUCCAAAACAAACCAAAAUAAUAGAUACUUUGGGUCAAGAUACUUUCUGUUGCAGCUUGGCCAGCUGAAACACUUUCCCCUCUUUGGUGCACACUGCACCAGCCUCAGUGACAGCAGCCUGCCAGCCAGCCAGACAGACACAGCCUCUUAGGGUCUAAGUGUACAGAGUGUGUGUAUGGAUGUGAUGUCUCACAAUGGUGUAUCCAGGCCCUGAGGAAAGAUAUUAUUAGGAAAAGAACUACGGUGGACUGACAGAGCUCAGAACAGAACAGAGAAAUCAGAAGAAGCUCCCUUUCUCUCACUCUAUCUCUCUCACACAUAUACACACAGACACACACAUACACAUACACACACACACAGAACAAAUGAUAAUCAAUCAAAUCAUUUUUGUCCAAUCUUUCCACACCCACAAAAAUAUUAACAUGCCUACACUAGGCCUACACUACCAACAGGGGACAGUCAGGCUACACAGACCAAGUGUGGACUUCUAUUUCUGGUCAUUUACAAAUUAGGACAUUUACUUUUAAGAUAUUGUUUUAUAAUAUGACUGAAAAUAUGAUUUUUCAUGUUUUUCUUUUUUUUUUAUUGCCAAGAGGGGACUUGCAUCCCUAAGCGAUGUCUGCACAUUAACUAGGGGAUCUCCAUAUAAUGAAGUGAAACUGUCUGUACCCAUUCUUUCAAUGAUUGUUUGUUUAUAGCAAAUACUGUUUAUUUCAACGAUUGAUGAUUCGAUUAAAAAAUUUCUCUGUUAUACAAAUGUUAAGAAAUAAUCAUGCCACUUCAAUAGAGAAUAAAUAAUGUUUUACCUGCACAUCAGAAGUAACUUGACUGCAUGCACUUAUAUCAAGGACUGAAGUAUUAGCAACAAAAUGUAUUUUAUCGGGUUUAUAUAUAGUAUACUUUUAAAGUUACAUUUUAAAGAUUAGCAUAGAUUUUAAGUGAAUUUUUACUUUUCUUUAGUUAUUGAGAAAUUAAUGCAACAUGUGUAGUGUGCCUUCCACUACACGCAAACUCUCAGUUCCAGUGUUGCAAUACUGAAUCAUUAGACGAAUGUCAUUUCAUCUUGUCUGUUCACCAAUAAAAAUAAUUUUUAUGUGACUAAUAUUGCAGCCAUCAGAAACAUUUUUAAAGUAUUUUUUCCCCAUGACACAAUUUGUAUGUGCAUUUCUUUGCAUUCAUUCUUACAAACAAUGGACGAUUGUCUCAACUCACGACUUUCUGGCAAAG
ensembl:lncRNA